CCCAAAAUAUUGGGACAUAAAAAAAAAGACAACUCUGUUCCGCAGAGUAGCUGUUGACAUUAUAGUUGCGCAGGCACUUUGUUGACUCUAGAGAACCUCUGGUCAAUUGCACAUCCCCGUAGCGGCGACUUUGCAUGCAGAUGUCAUCCAUAUCAACUUUCGAUACCAGUUUCUGUGCCUACCAUGGUGACCACGGGUAACGGGGAAUCAGGGUUCCAUUCCGUACAGGGACCCUGAGAAACGGCUACCACAUGCAAAGAAGGCAGCAGGCGCAAAUGACCCACUCCCGACGCGGGAAGGUAGUGACG